rnacentral:rRNA from 1 species
AUAUCAGUCAUGCAUAGCAUAUCAAUAAGCGGAGGAAAAGAAACUAACAAGGAUUCCCUUAGUAACGGCGAGUGAAGCGGGAAGAGCUCAAAUUUGAAAUCUUCAAGGUUUUACCUUGACGAAUUGUAGUUUAAAGAAGUGUUUUCUGUUGAAGUUUUGGUAAAAGUUCUUUGGAAUAGGACAUCAUAGAGGGUGAGAAUCCCGUAUUUGACCAUUACUUUCAGCUUUGUGAUACACUUUCAAAGAGUCGGAUUGUUUGGGAAUGCAGUCCGAAAUGGGUGGUAAAUUUCAUCUAAAGCUAAAUAUUGGCGAGAGACCGAUAGCGAACAAGUACCGUGAGGGAAAGAUGAAAAGAACUUUGAAAAGAGAGUUAAACAGUACGUGAAAUUGUCAAAAGGGAAGCGUUUGACACCAGUGUUGUUUUCUCGAAAAUCAAUUAAAAAGAGUUGGAUUUUGUGUUGUAUUGACUUUAUCAGGCUUUCUUCACUCUUUUCCAGCUUUUUUUAAUGCACUUUUCGUUUAACAAGUCAACAUCAGUUUCUUUUGUUGUAAAAAGGUCAUUGGAAGGUGGCUUUCUCUUCGGAGAAAGUGUUUAUAGCCUUUGACUCAUGCAAUCGGAGAGACUGAGGUCUGCAGCGUAGAUCCUUCGGGGUUAGAUACAUUUGUGCUAAGUUAUAGCUUUUCAUAGACAACUUGUUGACUAUGUUUAGUCUUGUAGCUUACUCGCUUAUGCUAUUUUACCUACGCUUAGGAUGUUGAACUCUAUCACACACA